AUGGUGAACAAGCAGUUGCGGCCCGUCACCAUCACCGCAACCGUGAGCAGCGAGGCCGAGAGCCAGCAGCCGCCCGCCCCUCCCGCCCUCAGCGCUGCUGACACCGAGCCCGGCACCACGGGCAGCAGCGCAGGGAGCGGCGGCCAGGGCGGCCUCACCUCGGCGGCGCCUGCCGGCGGGGACAAGAAGGUCAUCGCAACGAAGGUUUUAGGAACAGUAAAAUGGUUUAAUGUAAGAAACGGAUAUGGCUUCAUCAACAGGAAUGACACCAGGGAAGAUGGAUUUGUACACCAGGCUGCCAUAAAGAAGAACAACCCCAGGAAGGACCUGCGCAGUGUAGGAGAUGGAGAGACUGUGGAGUUUGAUGUUGUUGAAGGAGAAAAGGGUGCGGAGGCAGCAAAUGUUACAGGCCCUGGUGGAGUUCCAGUUCAAGACAGUAAAUAUGCAGCAGACCAUAACCAUUAUAUACGCUAUCCACGUCGUAGGGAUCCUCCACGCAAUUACCAGCAGAAUUACCAGAAUAGUGAGAGUGGGGAAAAGAAUGAGGGAUCGGAGAGCGCUCCCGAAGGCCAGGCCCAACAACGCCGGCCCUACCGCAGGCGAAGGUUCCCACCUUACUACUUGCGGAGACCCGAUGGGCAUCGACCACAGUAUUCCAACCCUCCUGUGCAAGGAGAAGUGAUGGAGGGUGCUGACAGCCAGGGUGCAGGAGAACAAGGUAGACAAGUGAGACAGAAUAUGUAUCGAGGUUAUAGACCCCGAUUCCGCAGGAGCCCUCCUCGCCAAAGACAGCCUAGAGAGGAUGGCAAUGAAGAAGAUAAGGAAAAUCAAGGAGAUGAGACCCAAGGUCAGCAGCCACCUCAACGUCGGUACCGUCGCAACUUCAAUUACCGAUGCAAAUGCCCAGAAAACCCUGAACCACAAGAUGGCAAAGAGACAGAAGCAGCCGUCCACCAGCUGAGAAUUCAUCCACUCCCAAGGCUGAGCAGGGCGGGGCUGAGUAA